rnacentral:rRNA from 1 species
GCUAGUAAUCGCGGAUCAGCAUGCCGCGGUGAAUACGUUCCCGGGCCUUGUACACACCGCCCGUCACACCAUGAGAGUCGGGAACACCCGAAGUCCGUAGUCUGACCGCAAGGGGGACGCGGCCGAAGGUGGGUUCAUAAUUGGGGUGAAGUCGUAACAAGGUACC